UAACGAAUCUUCCGCAAUGGGCGCAAGCCUGACGGAGCAAUGCCGCGUGUGGGAUGAAGCGUCUCUGACGUGUAAACCACUGUCAGGGGUUAGAAACAAUGAUCAACCCCAAAGGAAGUGGCGACUAACUCUGUGCCAGCAGUCGCGGUAAUACAGAGGCCACAAGCGUUAGUCGGAAUCACUGGGCUUAAAGGGUGCGUAGGCUGGUCCGCAAGCGUCUUGUGAAAGCCCUCGGCUCAACCGAGGAACAGCAGGGCGAACUGCGGAUCUUGAGGCAGGUAGGGGUCGCGAGAACAGUAGGUGGAGCGGUGAAAUGCGUAGAUAUCUACUGGAAUGCCGAUGGUGAAGACGCGCGACUGGGCCUGUCCUGACGCUGAGGCACGAAAGCGUGGGGAGCAAACGGGAUUAGAUACCCACGUAGUCCCUGAGCGGGCUGG
rnacentral:rRNA from 1 species